rnacentral:rRNA from 1 species
GACGAACGCUGGCGGCGUGCUUAACACAUGCAAGUCGAACGGAAAGGCCCCUUUGGGGGUACUCGAGUGGCGAACGGGUGAGUAACACGUGAGUAACCUGCCCUUGACUUCGGGAUAACUUCAGGAAACUGGGGCUAAUACCGGAUAGGAAUCCUUGCUGCAUGGUGGGGGUUGGAAAGCUUCGGCGGUUUUGGAUGGACUCGCGGCUUAUCAGCUUGUUGGUGGGGUAGUGGCUUACCAAGGCUUUGACGGGUAGCCGGCCUGAGAGGGCGACCGGCCACAUUGGGACUGAGAUACGGCCCAGACUCCUACGGGAGGCAGCAGUGGGGAAUAUUGCGCAAUGGGCGGAAGCCUGAUGCAGCAACGCCGCGUGCGGGAUGACGGCCUUCGGGUUGUAAACCGCUUUCAGCAGGGGCGAAGCUUGUGGUGACGGUACCUGCAGAAGAAGCACCGGCUAACUACGU